rnacentral:tRNA from 1 species
GCGGGGAUAGUUCAGCAGUAGAACGUCUCGUUGCCAACGAGAAGGUCGCGGGUGCGAAUCCCGUUCCCCGCU